rnacentral:lncRNA from 1 species
GCACUAAUUAGUAGCCAGGCUGUGUAACAUGCUGGGGAUUUGGUGAACAGUGUCUUCCCUCAGAUUUACAUCAGAGUGCGAAAGACACCGAAACAACUAUUCAGAUUUAGCAGCUGUGAAAAGUUGCUAUGAAAAGAAUACCAGGUGCUGUGAGAACAUAAGGCAUGUUAUCAUUAGAAAAAAAUACGACAAUUUCCAUUUUGGAGAAACAGUAUCUAUGCUAUCCCAUCCCUUCUUUAAAAGUAUACAUGUGAAAUAAAACACUGGAAAAUAAACUAAUUUUCG